GAGAUGUAUGGAUUUUAGAUCUGUCAUUCUUAACAAGGCUUUACAGUUCUUGAGUUAUAGAGACCAAAUCAAUUUACUUUUCAAACAUGUAAACAUAAAGACACAGAAAAUAGAUAUGUUAAUUUAAAAUAAAUGUGCUGACUUUGAACUGUUAUCUUAGAAUUUAAUAUUAUUUAUUCAUUUAUUUCAGACAUGAAAAUAAAAUGAAAUAAAUAAAAAACAAUUAAUCAAGAAUAACAUUUUUUCCAAAAGGACUAGGAAGAAAAAUAUAUUUUUAAAUUCCUACCCCCUUCUCACUAUUCCUCCAUUAACUCAUAUAUAAUUUAUAAACAACUAUCCCAAAUGUAUUUGCAACCCAAAUAUUCAGCUGGUGUUAUCAAAUCAAAUUUUAAAAACCAACCCAUUAACACAAUGCUUCUUCAUCCAUAUACCGUCUAAAAAUAUUUUGUUUUGUAUAUUGAACUCAAAUCUCAGAUUUAACUGUAGCCUUACAAAACUAGUAUGAGUCUUUCAUCUGAAAAACAUUCGCUGAGGAUCAAUUGAGCCUUGCAUCUGGAAACUGGGCCAAUUUGCCAAUUCUGGUUAGUGGUGGAGAUAAUGAUAUGACUUCUUGUCUUGCAAAGGUCCAGAACCAUAUAAAGACACCAUCAUGUACCUUCAUCCACAGGUCUAGUUCAGAAAGUUAAGGACCAUUGCGAGGUCCAUCUACCUGUCUUGUCCUACAAAACUAAUAUAAGUCUUUCAUCUGAAAAUAAUUCACUGAAGAUCAGUUGGGUUUGUCAUCUGGAAGCUUGACUAAUUGGCAAACACUGGUUAGGGAUUUAGAUAAGGACAUGACUCAGUGUCUUACAGAGGUCCUGAGCCUUAUAAAGAUGUAAAAUUGUAGAUUAUCUUAUCUAGAGCUGUUGAAAAAGUAUUUUAGAUUAUAUUAUCCAUACAGUCUAUAAAUGUAGGUGAUUGGCUGCCAUGCAGUUUCAGAACUUUGUUUUAUUUCAGAUCUGCAAUACCUAUAAUUCUAGUUCUUCACAUCUUAAAGUGACUGUUGAGUAUUGAUUGACAUAGGGAAACUGGACUAAUUGGCAAACUCAUGUCGAUGGUCUUUAUAUAAAGACAUGACUUGCCAUCUUGCAGAGGUCCCAUUCCUUGGUAUGAUAUUUUAAAGUAGAUUAGUGUUUACUUCUUCACAUGGUUGAGAAUCUUAUCAAAAUGAAUAGUCUUGUCAUCAUCUUAACCACCAACUCAAGUUUGCUAAUCCUCCUCAAAUGUUUUUCAGUCCCAAAACUUGAACUAUGUUUGCAGGAUUACAGCCAAAUCUAAGAGGACUGGUUGUAACUGGCAGAUAGAAAUAGAUAUGCUGGUGUUUAAUGUCCACAUGUGUAGUUUUAUGGUCAGUUAUUUUAGCAAACUUGUACAAGAAGCAGCAAGGACACAGACUUUUCCUUUACACAAAUUUGCAUAUUUGCAUAAAAUAAUCAAAAUGUUCAAAGCAAUGAACCAUCAUGCAUUACAUGAGACGAAACGCUUCAAAUAUAAAAAGCUAAAGUUAAAAACAGCUGAUUUUUCUAUUUACUGAUUGCUUCGAAUAAACAAACAGACAUUUGUGGAAUGAUAACAUUAUAUGAACAUAUCAUUACAAAUGUUAUUUAACAUAAAGUCAAUAAAAAACAAUGAAUUAUUACCGAGUCCAACUAAUAGACAUACGUCAGUUUUUAAGGAUACAUAUUUUAUUUUAAUGAAGUUAAUGUGUUUCUGAAUGAAAAGUAUAAACAUCUUAAA